UGGUAGAGAUAACAGCAGAGGACAAGAAGAAAGAGCAGAUACAAGUGUUAGGAAGUGACAUCUUGUCAUACAGGCAUUCUCUGGACACUGUCUCCCGGGGUCCUGCUGCUGCUGACGGCCCCUCCCCCUCCCUGCUCCUCUCUGGGUAAGGAAAGGAAGAGAUGGAGGAUAGAAGAUCAGCUGGAGCUGCCAUGAGGGGACAAACAUAGCCCCCUCUGAGGACAGAUUAUAGGAACCCCUAUAUCAGGACACCUAAGGAUAAGAACUAUAUUCCCUCUGGACUCAAAGGCUGAAGUACUCUUAAUCUAACCUCCAUGACAUUAGGGUUUUUUGAUUUGCACCUAUCCAUAUGGAUUGACUAAGCACCACUUAUUGAACUGUAAGACCUUCUACAGGAUGCUAUGGACUUCAAGACUCUUCCCACUGGUCUCCCUCUACCCUUCGGCCUUCUUUUCCUAUUCUCCCCUUGUUCCUUCUGAUGUUAUUGUUUAAAAAUUCUAAAAUGUUAAUAAAAACAUUAUUAAAAAAAAAA